rnacentral:rRNA from 1 species
UGCAGGCUGCAACUCGCCUGCAUGAAGUCGGAAUUGCUAGUAAUCGCGGAUCAGCAUGCCGCGGUGAAUACGUUCCCGGGCCUUGUACACACCGCCCGUCACACCAUGGGAGUCGGUAACACCCGAAGCCUGUAGUCUAACCGCAAGGGGGACGCAGUCGAAGGUGGGAUUGAUGACUGGGGUGAAGUCGUAACAAGGUAUC